GAAAGGAAGAUUAAUACCCCAUAAUAUAUUGAUUGGCAUCAGUUAAUAUGAAAACUCCGGUGGAUAGAGAUGGGCACGCGCAAGAUUAGAUAGUUGGUAGGGUAACGGCCUACCAAGUCAGUGAUCUUUAGGGGGCCUGAGAGGGUGAUCCCCCACACUGGUACUGAGACACGGACCAGACUCCUACGGGAGGCAGCAGUGAGGAAUAUUGGACAAUGGGUGAGAGCCUGAUCCAGCCAUCCCGCGUGAAGGACGACGGCCCUAUGGGUUGUAAACUUCUUUUGUAUAGGGAUAAACCUUUCCACGUGUGGAAAGCUGAAGGUACUAUACGAAUAAGCACCGGCUAACUCCGUGCCAGCAGCCGCGGUAAUACGGAGGGUGCAAGCGUUAUCCGGAUUUAUUGGGUUUAAAGGGUCCGUAGGCGGAUCUGUAAGUCAGUGGUGAAAUCUCAUAGCUUAACUAUGAAACUGCCAUUGAUACUGCAGGUCUUGAGUAAAGUAGAAGUGGCUGGAAUAAGUAGUGUAGCGGUGAAAUGCAUAGAUAUUACUUAGAACACCAAUUGCGAAGGCAGGUCACUAUGUUUUAACUGACGCUGAUGGACGAAAGCGUGGGGAGCGAAAC
rnacentral:rRNA from 1 species